UCGACAGACGACAGCGAUGAAGUGCAGCCGCGUGUCUCGGGCAGAGUUCUCAUCGGGCCCCACGACCUUAGAGUUGAUACCUACGUGGUAGCUUUCUUACCUGCCUGAGCUCCUUAGCCGUAGCUGGGGCCCUCUCGUUCUUCGAAAGCCAAGGAGAUGACAUUCACGCAAAUCGCCUGCGAGCUUCGUGAACUGCGUUCGAACCUGGUGCAGCUUUGGCGAAAGUGGAUGAAAGAAAAACAAGACUAAUUGUUUCGCCCAGAAAUUGGCAACGGACACUUACUGCACCAGUCGCUGUUAUGCGUCGCAUGGUGUCACGACAUCUUCACAAAAUCCGAAGUGAAAUAAAAUGUUAGCGACGUCAAACGGCAA